UUUCAGAAAGAUGAUGAAAGAUCAUAAACAGUUGAGUUGCUAUAUGUUGAGACAGUCACUCUGCUCAACUCGAAUCCAAUGAAUUUAACGGAUUUUUAAAGAGAAAGGUGGAAGAAUAAGCCACAAUGUUUUUAUCUUGCCUGGGAUCGAACCUUCACGCGAGUCCUAUUUUAGAACUCUACGCUAGAUGAUGGAAUCUUGGAAGUUAUGAAUUUUGUUAGUUGGUUUUCUUGAAAAUGCUAAUAGAAAUUUGCAUCUUAAGUGAUCUGCAACGCAAUUAAAAACAUAACAAUCUGUACCCGGCGACAAGAAAAAAAUUGCACCCUGAAAUUUCAUGCAUUGUUGACUUCUUAUGGACCUCAUGUCAAAUUUUUUUUUUUAAUCAAUUUUAAUCAAAUAUUCAUACUAAAUUUGUUGAUAUAUUCAAAUAAUUGAAAAAAUAAUAUCUUCCUACUGUGCGAACUUUAAUAAGAUUAAAUAUGGACAUAUCCGAGAAUAUGAUUCGUAACCACUCAGAUUGGACCAAUUUAAGCGAGCUGUCUUCAUUCGACCUUUCAAAAGUGGUUUUUAACCGACGUUGAAUAGUUCGAGCCGAAAUUUCAUUUGUAAAACUGCUGCUUCUUUGAUGCUAUCUCAUCAUAAAUUUUAAACGCAUCCUGAGACUUAUUUAAUAAUAACACGAUCUUUCCUUACCCCUUUGCUAAGAUUGUUACCACAAAAUAUUACUUAACAAAAAUGCUGAAUUACAGACGUGGGAACAGAUGUGAUUUAGCGACGACAAAGAUAAAAAUUAGACGAAUCGGAAGUCACAGGCUGGAAAAGUAAAAUAGGUAUGAAAUUCAGAGUGCGGCUUUUUUUGUCGCCGGGCGUAGGAGCUUACAUUGAGCCAAAAAAAUAAAUGACUUGUUGAAUCUCUAUUAUAUAAAUCAGUAUUAUCAAUAUAGUAUGAAAUCAGUAUAUAAACAAUUGCUUCCGUCAGCAUACACCAAUACAUCA